UACGGGGGGAGCAAGCGUUGUUCGGAUUUACUGGGCGUAAAGGGCGCGUAGGCGGCCACCGCAAGUCGACUGUGAAAUCCCCGAGCUUAACUUGGGAAUUGCGCUCGAAACUACGUGGCUCGAGUGUGGCAGAGGAAGGUGGAAUUCCACGUGUAGCGGUGAAAUGCGUAGAGAUGUGGAGGAACACCGAUGGCGAAGGCAGCCUUCUGGGCCAACACUGACGCUCAUGCACGAAAGCGUGGGGAGCAAACAGG
rnacentral:rRNA from 1 species